ensembl:lncRNA
GGCCCGAGCUGGCUCGCCCCAGCUGCGACACCUCGACCCAGAACCCUCAGAGCAACCACGAGGAAAGUGAGAGACGGAUCACAAGUGAGGAGGCGGCCGGACUUCUCUGCGUGGCCCCCGAUGCUUUGACCUCCGAGGCCGGACGCCCGCAGUCCGUCGUUGGCCUCAUAGAGGUGUUUCUGGAACAGCACUUCCCGAAGAUACCGGCCGACGUGGAGCAGACCUUAAGUCGCCACCUGCUGGAGGUGCAGGAGACGCUGCUCAGGGAGCUCGUGAGGUUGGCCCCCCCGACUCCAUUCUGAGGGAUUGUUGGAAUGCUGCCACCAGCAGACAUUUAAACAUCUUGAUCAUCUACUUCGGAUGAUCCGCAUCCCCAGAGAAUUGUUAUUUCUGAUUAACUGGGUCCUACAUACAUAUCUGAGCCGGGACCUGCUUGGUCAUCCUGACCUUCAGUGCACAGAUCCCAUAAAAAAGAUCGACCUCCUGCUGUUAACACGGUGGACGUCCCAAGCGGAGGAAAUAUUGUUUGAAAUUCUGAUGAGAGAUAUCGGCCGUUGCCUGGAGAAGAUCCUGCAGAUGGAAAUGAACCACGAUGAUCUUUACGUGGACGCGAUUCAGUGCAUUGACGCCGUGCCCCAAAAUGUCCUCAAAAUCAGCCCACAACUGUCUGAUAAGCUGCAGGAGGGUUGCAUGCGAGAGCUGCUGUGGUUUCUGAAAAAGUUCACGGCGGCGCAGAAGGACCUUCUGAGAAAGAAAGCAAAAAUGGACGAACCAGAAACAAAAGAUUUUUUCAGGAAUUUGAAGAACUGUAAAGGACUCAAGCAGUACAUCCAGGAAAAAGACAAAGAGAAAAAAUACCCUCUCAUGGAAAUCAUUGAAGACAUGGAGGCUUUUACUUUGAAACUCCUGAGGGAAAUCUUCGCUGACAUCGCAGAGAGCCGCCUGAAGAAAUACUUCAAAUCACAGAAUAAGGAAUUCUCCCUCUUGCUCGAUGACGUAAGAAGCCUCCUCUCAGGUCUGUCCGACUACGAGGACGUUCAGAUGAGCGUGAUGGACGAGGCCUACAAGCUCCUCGCUCACGUUUACCUCAAACGCCUCGUCGGAACGCGCCUGAGCCGCCUGAGGAGGCGCUGGCAGCCCGACGUGGGACGAAGGGUCACCGAGGACGCCGAGCUGCUUCACCACUUCCUCGCGGAUCUGGUUCCCGGGGUCGCUGGCUGGAACGCCAUGCUGCUGAAAGUCGAAGAUCUGUUGAGCGUCGAGAGUCUUGAUGUGAUGAAAGUGACAGCGGCGGAGAUGCAGAAGGAGUGUCACCCGGGGAGCGGUGACCUGCAGCUCCUGCCCGCGCUGCUGCAGUGGCGAGGUCUCUCCGGAUCCCAGAUCAGGGACGUGCAAUAUGCCAUGAUGGACCUACCCGGCUUUCAACUCCCACCCACGCCUGCUUCCUGCUUCUCCUGCUUCACCUGGUGGCGAAGCUGCUGCGCGCCGGAAUCCACGGUUGUCAGCGAGGAGGACGGCUCUCAGAUCUGAUGCAAGGGAGUUGGAAUAAGCUUCAAGUGUACGUUAUGUCACUGGUGUCGCUUCCUUUCAGGUGUCGUUGUCGUAUAAGGAAAUAUACAUAUUUGUCGGGACAUUUGCACAUCGUUGACAGUACCGUUAUGUUUUGUGCAUCAACUUGUUGUAGAUCGGUCAACCUGUGCGCCUCCCGUCUCAUUCUUACUGUAUUUAUGCACGAGGCUAAAGUGCAGCAGAAAGGCCGUGACCUGCGUGGAAUGUGGACGCAGGUUUCCGAAGCGAAGCUCAGCGACAGCGGGUUGGGGCCUCGUGACGUUGAGCGUCGCGUCUGCCCGAAAAAGCGUAAUAAGAGGGAAGAGGAAUAACAAGAGUUUGAGUUUGAACACGGCGCCUGAUUGCUCGCUUUUGAAAAAAAACAGAAACCAUUAGCAGAUGUGUGACUUCCAGAGAAAGCUGCUCUCUUUGCUCGUUACUGCUCAUCAGGCUUUGUUGGCCUGCUGGCCAGAAUAAGUCGCCUGGAGGGCCGUGGACAGUGAAGAUUAUGCGUCUUUUUGCCGCAGAGCCAAAGCUCUGAUAAUCCAAAACACAAGAACAAAGAAUUCAGAGGCACUAAAGGGAAAAAGUUCACUUGACUUUUACAAAAAGGACUCUUUUGUUUCAAACCCUUUAAGGACCAUUUGUUGUUUCCUUUGUGUGCUGAGAGUUUUGAGCUGCACUGAUACUAAGCUCUGUCUCUUGAUUAUGAUGAAACGUUGCACAUUUCCAAACUUCACUGUAAAGAUUCUUCUCAGUAUUUAUUUCAGUUUGUAUUUAGUGGUUUUAAUUCCCUCUUCAUUCCCGGUACGAAGUCAUAUUUUCUGCUUUAAUUUAACAGUGAAUUCCUUUUAACUUUAUUAAUGUUGUACAUUGUGUUACUUUGUGGUGGUUCGUGUAGUUAAUAAGUUGCAAAUAAGGUUAAAGGGGCAAAACAAACAAAAACGCUUUUCUGUCAGUAAAGAAAUGAAUAAACCGAUUCCCCGGAAAGGAAGACUUUGCCUGCGUGUUCAUUGAACGUCACCAGAGGGAGACAAACAUCGAACAGAAAACAGAUCCCAGAACAGCUUCUCCAUCCAGGGCGCGUGCCCCCAGAAUGCAGCUGUGGCUAAAUAAAUCACUUAGAAAGUUUAGUUCCCAGAGACCGAGAGGACUUUUUUUACAACGUUAUGUAUUCAGUCACAGAGGCUCUAGUUUAUUAAGAAAUUCUGUUUAAAGUGUAAAAGAUGGAUGAAAUUUAAAAGAUAAAUUAUGAAAAACUUCUUCAGGAGCAAAAACAAGCCUCUGUUGUCUGUAUCGGAAAACAUUCCGAUGGCCGAGGCCCAAAAAGCUCCAUGUUGAUGCUUAAAGUUUAUGACCAAAAAACCCCAAAUAAACAGCCGGGCUCGGUGGCUCGCAGCAGGAAAGCGAGCUCGUCCUCUUCACUCCCUCUUGUUGCCGUGGCUCCCCCUCGUCUUCCUGAGCACAUCCUUCCUCUCACACCGACACGCACUCACUACCCAGUACCAUCACACUCCCUUUCAGGGAAACCCUGAGCCGCUGGCGGCGGUGACGCAGCAGGCUCGCGUACUUCCCGGAGGAGCUGCACAAAUUACUCAGAAAAAAUUAACUGUGAUGCGUCUUUCUGUCGCACGGCGAUUUCCUGCCAUUGUUGAUUUGGGAUUUGUGCGUUGUUGUUGUUGUCAUCACCAAGGUGACGCCUUAAGUUUUGGUCUCAGGCGACUCGGCCGUGAAAUCACACCUGUAAGAAAAUUGCGGCUGGUGCAGAUGUUCUGAGCUGCGAAGGCCUCACAGAGGUGUGUGGAGCCUCUGGAUGAGAAGAGCCGGGCGUCAGGAGUCGCAUCCAGGUGUCUGACUGCCAGGUUUUCCAUUUUGAUGGAAGAUUAAAUGUGAAUGUCGCAGUAAAUCAAACGUGCACACAUAGGUGAAUACCACACAAGUUUUACCAAAUUUAUUAAUAAACUUAAAUUAAAGACACUUAACACUUUCUCUAAAAGCAUUCGGCACAUCAGAAGCAAUGAAACAAAACAUGUAAAACUUCCUGACAACUUGACCUCUCCCUUUAUUGCACAUGUAAUGCCAAAUAAUUCACAAUCUGAAAAUGACAACACAAAUUUAAUGUCCACACACGCACACAGACACUCAUUGUUGUUCUCAGCGGUAAAAAGCUCCUUGUUUGCCUGCAGUAAAGUAGCUUAUUCUUCCAUGCAGUCGGCGCCUUUGUAACAGGGCUCGUGUUGUCA